AUGCUUCUACUUUCUGUAUGGAGCUGGGAGCGUCUGCCUGUUGGACGCCCGAAGAGCGUCAGGUUUAAUCCUUGGUAUCAAGAUGAAGAUGACGAAUUACAGCUCCCCACUUGGGCUUACAAGUGGGAUGUGGUUUCCGAGAUGACGAACGAUGUCAAUCUCAUGUACCAGAAGUACGUUGCCGAGUUGGACACGAUUACGCCUGAGCAGGUGGAAUGGCAGCCAUAUGGCGCCGAUGAUAGACUUGGGUACACCCCGGAGUUUACCAUCAACCCGAUGUGCUUGCGGGAUAGGGAUCUCUGGCUUAUGCGGUGCCCACUGAUAUGCAACUGGGCUGUUGAGUUUCAUUUUCCACAUCGCGUGUUUCGUCAGUUCGGUCUGUUCCAGCCUCACCCGCCAGAAUGGGUGGAUACGGACAAGGCACUUCAUAGGUUGGAUAGGAGAAAGCAGCGCAAGAUAAAGGACUGGGACAAGCAUCAUGCUUCGUAUGUCACCCGCUUUCAGCUUUGCGUGGAGCAAGCUCGUAGCACUGCACGUGCCCAGCUUCAUGAGCAUAACCCAGUUGCGUUUGAUAACUACAUACGAUGGCUUCUUGAAAAUACUCGAGUUGAGAUAUGCCCGCCGGCAUAUAAUGAGGAUAUUCUUGAAGAACCCAUAAACUUUGAGGAUCUAUCAAAGGGGAAGUACAACAUAGAUGUCAAGUUAGGGCAAGGAGUCCCUACUGUUCCGGUGAUUAACUAUGUGCGCACCGAGAUCAAGAAAGCUGCUGAUGAGAGCCAGAAUAUUUUGGAGAACACACCGGUUGCAAAAGGCAAUGAUGAUGGUUCACUACGAGCAUUCCUCAAGCGUCAGGCCAGGAAGUUAAGGCGGUUAUCGAAUCUUCUCGGUUGCCGUGAUCCCGAAUAUGAUGAACCAUCUGCCUCUAGGUCUGGUACACCAUCAGACCCCUCAUCUCACCAUCAGGGGGACGAUGUCAGUUCCUCAUAUGCUUAUAUGGAUGAUGAGGGGUGA
rnacentral:rRNA from 1 species